rnacentral:rRNA from 1 species
UAGGGAAUCUUCCGCAAUGGACGAAAGUCUGACGGAGCAACGCCGCGUGAGUGAAGAAGGAUUUCGGUUCGUAAAACUCUGUUGUUAGGGAAGAAAAAAUGUAUAGUAACUAUAUACAAAAGAGACGGUACCUAACCAGAAAGCCACGGCUAACUACGUGCCAGCAGCCGCGGUAAUACGUAGGUGGCAAGCGUUGUCCGGAAUUAUUGGGCGUAAAGCGCGCGCAGGUGGUUAGAAAAGUCUGAAGUGAAAGGCAGUGGCUCAACCAUUGUAGGCUUUGGAAACUGUUUAACUUGAGUGCAGAUGGGGAGAGUGGAAUUCCAUGUGUAGCGGUGAAAUGCGUAGAUAUAUGGAGGAACACCGGUGGCGAAAGCGGCUCUCUGGUCUGUAACUGACGCUGAGGCUCGAAAGCGUGGGGAGCGAACAGG